UGAGACUCCAUCCCAAAAAAAAAAAAAGAAAAGAAAGAAACCAUCAGUCUUAAUAAUCAUAAUAAUAGCUGCUUAAAUUGUAUAAAGUACCCACAUAUAAUUUAUGAAGACAUUAAAAAGACUUACUGAUGUAGCAGAUUUUUUGAAGUAUAACCAAUACAUUUUUGCUCCCACUAACAGCUGCUUCCUAGUUUUCCCAGUUUCCUCACCCAUUGAAUCAUGGAGUCGUUUCUUAGAUUUGAUUCUGAACAUUGACUUCUUUGAAUCUCCAGAUUCAAAAUAGUGUUUACAAAUCCAGAUUUUCUGAAAGAGAAACUUUGAACUGAAUUCAUAAAUCUUUUUUUAACUAAAAAUAAUUCAAAGUCUGAUCUCGUAAUCUUACAAAAAAACAAUGUCCCAUAUCUCAAUUCUGCCAUGGAAAAGCCAAACAUAUUAUUCAUAUUGUUUGUGCCAUUCUUCUUCCAGUAGUGUGAUUCAGGCAUCAGAGUUGCCACCUCUUAGAUGAAGUUUCCACUGCUCAAGUACCUGUCUCUCUUACACUGAGAAGAACUACAGAUUUCACUCUGAGGAUAUCAUCCGCAGGAGGGCGGUUAUUGGGGUGGGAAAUUGUAUGGUGAUGUUUGUCUUUGAUCUGUUCUCAGAUCUUUUAUAGAGCUUUCCUUCCUCCCCUCUUCCACCAUGUAUGUUCCUGGACUUCAGUCCAAUGUCGGCUCCUCGCAGAUUCCUUACUUCUAAGGCUGUUAUAUUAGAAAUAGGGAUGUUAUCGGUGGAAGGUAUCUGAGUUACUGGCAAUGAAUUCUGCAGCAACAUCAAUUCUUGCCUCCUCAGAAGAAAGAAUUUGACGGAGGGGCAUAAGGCAGAAAAAGAGACCAAGGCAAGCUUCACAGCAGGAAGUUUAUUUAAAAGGUUUUAGAAUAGAAAAGAAAGGAAGGUAUACCUGGAAGAGACCCAAGCAGGCACGUGAAGGUCAAGUGCGAUGUUUAACCUUGAUCCCAGGACUUUAUAGGCUGGCCCACUUCCUGUGACUUGCACCUCUUUCCCAUAAUUCAUCCCUUAGGGUGGGCUGCCCGCAUGCACAGUGCCCUCCUUAUGCUUGAGAAGUGAGUACACACAAGGAAGUUGUACACAUGCCCCUUGGAGGUUUCCUUCCCUUUUCCAGUGAUACUUCACCAUCUUGCCUCUUAAUGCUCUUGCCCUUGCUUACUUGCCCAAUACCUGAGAUUUUAUUGGAAUCCCCUUUUUGCUUCUCCCUGGCACCUGCAUUCAAUUCACACUUUACUGUUAACAGGUGUGGACCAUUAGGAGAUUGUCUCUCCCCAGUGCCCUUUGCCAAUUUAUCACUUUUAGAGAGGAAAUGUGAUGAUAAUUGCCAAGCCAUCACCCAACAAUCCUAGUGGGUGGGGGAGAGCCCUCUCCUGCCCCAUUCAUGCCUGUUUAGCUACCUGUGACAGGAAAUUUAGCCAUCAUUGGCUCAUUUUCUUGAAAGACUCAGAUAGGAUAGUGAGGACUGGUUGCUAUUGCUUACGUACUCCAUGUCACUAAAUGAAUCAAAACAUUCUCUGCCUUGGACAUAAUGACGAAUGCAAUGUUAUCAGAUUCAUAGUACAUUUUGGGGGCAAAAUAUACUCAGUUUUGGGAAC
rnacentral:lncRNA from 1 species